rnacentral:lncRNA from 1 species
AAUUUUUAUUAGAAUAUUUAUAAUCAUGACACUUUUGCAUUAUUGAGUAUGAGUUCUUGAGAAGCGCUUUCAUAAACCACGCGUUUUGUUCAUAUCACUUGUAUCAAAGUGUGUGUGUUAUUUGUACAUUAUUUAGACUUUUUAGUCAAGCCAGUUUUAUUAACCUACAGCUAUGUGGCUAUUGCCAAGUGCUUUGACAAUCCAUCCUCUGUAAUGUUAUGUUAAAAUGAAUAUCACCAUUACAUCAGUCAAUUAUAUUUUGUAUAAAAUCAUAUUCCCAACAAUAUUCUUCCAUAGUUUAAUUACAAUUUGGAAAUAUUUGCCCAACA